rnacentral:tRNA from 1 species
GGGUGUGUAGCUCAGUUGGUUAGAGCGCCGGCCUGUCACGCCGGAGGUCGCGAGUUCAAGUCUCGUCACUCCCGCCA